rnacentral:rRNA from 1 species
GGGGAUAACUACUGGAAACGGUAGCUAAUACCGCAUAACGUCGCAAGACCAAAGAGGGGGACCCUCGGGCCUCUUGCCAUCGGAUGUGCCCAGAUGGGAUUAGCUUGUUGGUGGGGUAACGGCUCACCAAGGCGACGAUCCCUAGCUGGUCUGAGAGGAUGACCAGCCACACUGGAACUGAGACACGGUCCAGACUCCUACGGGAGGCAGCAGUGGGGAAUAUUGCACAAUGGGCGCAAGCCUGAUGCAGCCAUGCCGCGUGUAUGAAGAAGGCCUUCGGGUUGUAAAGUACUUUCAGCGGGGAGGAAGGGAGUAAAGUUAAUACCUUUGCUCAUUGACGUUACCCGCAGAAGAAGCACCGGCUAACUCCGUGCCAGCAGCCGCGGUAAUACGGAGGGUGCAAGCGUUAAUCGGAAUUACUGGGCGUAAAGCGCACGCAGGCGGUUUGUUAAGUCAGAUGUGAAAUCCCCGGGCUCAACCUGGGAACUGCAUCUGAUACUGGCAAGCUUGAGUCUCGUAGAGGGGGGUAGAAUUCCAGGUGUAGCGGUGAAAUGCGUAGAGAUCUGGAGGAAUACCGGUGGCGAAGGCGGCCCCCUGGACGAAGACUGACGCUCAGGUGCGAAAGCGUGGGGAGCAAACAGGAUUAGAUACCCUGGUAGUCCACGCCGUAAACGAUGUCGACUUGGAGGUUGUGCCCUUGAGGCGUGGCUUCCGGAGCUAACGCGUUAAGUCGACCGCCUGGGGAGUACGGCCGCAAGGUUAAAACUCAAAUGAAUUGACGGGGGCCCGCACAAGCGGUGGAGCAUGUGGUUUAAUUCGAUGCAACGCGAAGAACCUUACCUGGUCUUGACAUCCACGGAAGUUUUCAGAGAUGAGAAUGUGCCUUCGGGAACCGUGAGACAGGUGCUGCAUGGCUGUCGUCAGCUCGUGUUGUGAAAUGUUGGGUUAAGUCCCGCAACGAGCGCAACCCUUAUCCUUUGUUGCCAGCGGUCCGGCCGGGAACUCAAAGGAGACUGCCAGUGAUAAACUGGAGGAAGGUGGGGAUGACGUCAAGUCAUCAUGGCCCCUUACGACCAGGGCUACACACGUGCUACAAUGGCGCAUACAAAGAGAAGCGACCUCGCGAGAGCAAGCGGACCUCAUAAAGUGCGUCGUAGUCCGGAUUGGAGUCUGCAACUCGACUCCAUGAAGUCGGAAUCGCUAGUAAUCGUGGAUCAGAAUGCCACGGUGAAUACGUUCCCGGGCCUUGUACACACCGCCCGUCACACCAUGGGAGUGGGUUGCAAAAGAAGUAGGUAGCUUAACCCUCGGGAGGGCGCUUACCACUUUGUGAUUCAUGACUGGGGUGAAGUCGGAACAAGGUAA